rnacentral:lncRNA from 1 species
GGUAGCAGUACAGGAGAAAGGAGGAAGAAGAUGGAGGAGAAAUGAUGACAAGUGGGCCCUAUGUCAGCCUAAUAGCUUGGUUAAACGGUUUGAAUUUUAUGUGCCAUGUCAUCACUUACAACGGGUCCCACCGUCAGUGUUCGUGUGAAAACGUGGUCAAGUGUCGUUUUAGUGUUUUCAGCAAAUGAUUUCUUGAAACCAAGUG